rnacentral:lncRNA from 1 species
GCCACAGCAACACAGGAUCCGAGCCACAUCUGCGACCUACACCACAGCUCAUGGCAAUGCUAGAUACCCAUACUACUGAGCAAGGACAGGGAUCUAACCCACUUCCUCAUGGAUACUAGUCAGAUUCAUUUCUGCUGCGCCACAACGGAAACUUCCUGUUUUUUUUUUUUUUCCUUAAUUCCUAGAGAAUGAAAUAAUGCCAUUUGCAGCAACAUGAAUGGACCUAGAGAUUAUCAUACUAAGUGAAGUCAGAGAAAGAUGAAUAUCAUAUAUAUAUCACAUAUAUGAAGACUUAAAAAUAAUACAAAUCAACUUAUUUACAAAACAGAAACAGACUCAGACAUAGAAAACAAACUUAUGGUUACCAAAGGGCAAAGGGGAAGGGAUAAACUCGGAGUGUGGGAUUAACAUAUACACACGACUGUACAUACAAUAGAUAAACAAGGAUUUACUGUAUAGCACAUACAACUAUAUUCAACAUCUUGUAAUAACCGAUAAUGGAAAAGAAUCUAAAGCUGUACACCUGAAACAGACACAGUAUUGUAAAUCAACUAUAGUUAAAUAUAAACAAACAAACAGGCUUAUUUCUGUCUGCAUGUGCUGCUGGCUAAGGUUACAUAUGAGAAACCACCCUGUAACAAACUUAUAAAAGGAGGAGGGGAAAAAAAAAUCUUUUCUGGUAUUUUGUUUUAUGGCUCAUGUUUUAAGAGAUGUUUUCUUCCAGUUAAUGUGCUUGAAAGCUUCUUCCCAAAUCUACUGCCCUUUGUUUUUAACUAGAAGGAAAGGGCACAAUUCUUAAUUCUCCUUAAUCGGAGUUAUUACAUUUUCUAGCAUUUAAGGUAAUGUAAGUAUUAUAUUCUGAUGGGAGAAUAAUGUUUUAAGAAUAAUGAAAUUAUGGCAGAAGCAUUUAGAUAUAAUUACAUAGCCAUAAAAAUUUCAAUUAGGCUUUCUUUACAUUGCAAUUAAUGCUGCAUUUGAACACUGGCAUUUGUGAGGCCCUAGGUUUCACUUGUUUCUUGCUUUUUAAAAGUAGCAUAUGCCAAGGGGGAGGGGAAGGGAGUGGGAUGGAUUGGGAGCUUGGGGUUAAUAGAUGUAGACUAUUGCCUUUGGAACGGAUUAGCAAUGAGAUCCUGCGGGUAGCACUGGUAACCAUGUCUAGUCACUUAUGAUAGAGCAUGAUAAUAUGAGAAAAAAGAAUAUAUACAUGUAUGUGUAACUAGGUCACUGUGCUGUACAGUAGAAAAUUGACUGAACACUAUAAUCCAGCUAUAAUGGAAAAAACCAAAAAUCAUCAUAUAGAAAAAAAAAUUUAAAUAAAUAAAAGUAACAUAAGCAGUAUUUUUUCCUUUUGUUUUUAUGUUAGUGUGAGAAUACUCAUGGAAAAUUGAAUUAAAAUCUAAAACUUCCUAUAAAAUAAGCAAAAAGUAAAAUAUACUUUUUAAGUUCUAAUUCAUAAUUAUGCCUUAUAUUAGUUUUCUGCUGCUGCUUAAAAAAUUAACUCAGAACUUUCCAAUCAAAAAUAUGUAUUAGCCACAUAGUGUCUGAAGGUGAGGAAUCCUAGAGCAACUUAGCUGCAUGGUUCUAGCAAAGGCCUCUCAUGAGUUGUCAAUCAAGCUAUCUUCCAGGGCUGUAGUCUUCUGAAGCCUUAACUUAAGCCUCCAAGUGAGGGAUCCACUUGCAUUUUGGCUGUUGGCAAGAAGUCUCAUAUCCUUACUGGGUGUUGGCAGAAACAGAAGCCUCACACGUGGAUCUCUCCACAGGGCUGCUUAAGUGUCCUCGCUAUAUGGCAGUUGACUGCUGCCAGUGUUAAUAAUCUAAAACAGGAAGUCUGAAGCCUCAUUGUCUUUUAUGGACCAAGCUUGAAGUCACAUAGCCAUACUUCUGCAUUACUGUGUUCAUUAGAAGAGAGUCAAUAAGUCCAGCCUGUAUCCAAGAGGUAGGAAAUGAGAUUCCACCUCUUGAAGACUAUAAGGCAGUACCAAAGAAUGUGGGUAGUUACAGGUACUUACUUUUUUUUUUUUUCCAUUAUUUUUAAGGCCCCACCGUGGCAUAGGGAAGUUCCCAGGCCAGGGGUCGAAUCAGAGCUGCAGCUACCAGCCUACGCCACAGCCAUAGCAACAUCAGAUCUGAGCCGCAUCUGCAACCUACACCACAGCUCACUGCAACGCUGGAUUCUUAACCCAUUGAGUGAGGCCAGGGAUCAAACCCACAUCCUCACAGACACUAUGUCGGGUUCUUAACUUGCUGAGCCACAGUGGGAACUGCAUGUGUGUACGUAUUUUAAUCCAAAAUGUACAUGGGAUGCUUUAGCCUAACUAGCUUAACUGAUCUGUUUAUUUUAUUCUAUUAUUGUCAAAUAGGAGAAGGCAAAGCUGUACUUAGAACCUGAAUAGAACUUGUAUGCUGAGGUUCAUAGUCCAAUGUCAAAGUUGCAGUAUACUUUUCCUCCCCAAGUUUCUUGGAAUUCUAUUACACAGUAGUUAUAAUUUUGUGCCUGACAUGUUUUCCCCACUAAGAAAUCUCCUUUGUGAGAUCCAAAAUCAAAAAAUGAACGUUAUCCUCUGCUUCCUAAGAUUUCUGCUAGGCUCACUGUGAAACAAGAGCUAAAGAAAACUCAGGUGGUCCCUUUACUCUGAAAGAAAGAGGCAGAAAAGUCUAAUAGUGGGUGCUCUGUAGCUUUGCUUUGACAAAUGGAGACAUUCUAUUUGAAACAACUCCUUGCCCUCUGCUUUCUCCUAUCUGCAUUAUUUUUUCUGGAUGAUUUCAUGCAAUUCAACGAGGCUGAUCUCUAGCCCAUACUUCUCCAUGAUCUUCAGAUUUGUGUAUCCAGCUGCCUACUCCACAUCUCUCUGGCAUGAUUAAUUGGCUCCUCAAACCUGCCAUGUCCAAAGUAGAAUAUUUCUUUCAGAGUCACGGGGAAGAAGAAAAGUAGUGAGAUAAGCCUGCAGAAAACUGAGCCCUCAUUACUUUCCCUGAAAAAUGGGCUGCCACCAAGUGGUGGUGGGGCUGCUGGGCUGCCUCCUCCACUGGUUGUGCUGCUCCUUGUGCAGAGAGGACAGGAGUGGAUGUCGCCCAUUCCUCUGGCAGCAAGAAGAAUUUCCCAGUUGGGCUCCAAGCUGAAAACAGAUUUCCCCUACUUGGAUGUCAUGGCACUGCCUAUGUGACAGCAUUCAUCAUCCCUCAUGGCUGCAGGAAUAUUUGCCAGCACAGGGGAUUACUCAUCCAUCAUUUAUGCUCAAGAUUGUGUGGGCAACAUGAGCAAGAAAUUCCUAUGGUGUAACCUGAAGGUACUUGAAGGCCUCUUUACUCCAAAAAUACCUUCCUGUCAGGUCCUACCAUUUUCUGGUCCUCGCCAUAUCAUUAUGCCUCCUUAAAAGUCCCUUUUCAGGGCCUAACACUUCUCAAGUCCUUCCAGGGAAGUUGGUCCCAAAGGCCAACUUGCGGGUUUUGUUC